rnacentral:rRNA from 1 species
AUUGAACGCUGGCGGCAUGCUUUACACAUGCAAGUCGAACGGUAACAGGUUAAGCUGACGAGUGGCGAACGGGUGAGUAAUGCAUCGGAACGUGCCCGAUCGUGGGGGAUAACGCAGCGAAAGCUGCGCUAAUACCGCAUACGAUCUGAGGAUGAAAGCGGGGGACCGUAAGGCCUCGCGCGAUCGGAGCGGCCGAUGUCAGAUUAGGUAGUUGGGGGGGUAAAGGCUCACCAAGCCGACGAUCUGUAGCUGGUCUGAGAGGACGACCAGCCACACUGGGAGUGAGGGCCGGACCAGACUCCUACGGGAGGCAGGAGUGGGGAAUUUUGGACAAUGGGCGAAGGCCUGGUCCAGCAAUGCCGCGUGAAGGAAGAAGGAGCUCGGGUUGUAAACUGCUGUUGUACGGAGCGAAAAGGCUCUCUCUAAUACAGGGGGCUCAUGACGGUACCGUAAGAAUAAGCACCGGCUAACUACGUGCCAGCAGCCGCGGUAAAAC